rnacentral:rRNA from 1 species
GAUAAACGCUAGUGGUGCGCCUAGCACAUGCAAGUCGAGCGAUCGAACUGGACUGAUCACCUUUCGGGGUGAGAGGACCAGUGACGGAGCGGCGGACUGGUGAGUAACGCGUAGCCAACCUACCCCCUUGACGGAGAUAACUACCUGAAAGGGUAGCUAAUAUACGAUAUUGCUCGAGAUCGAAAGAUCUUGAGCCAAAGGCGGUCUUGCCGUCGCAAGAGGAGGGGGCUGCGUCCUAUUAGCUUGUUGGUGGGGUAAUGGCCCACCAAGGCGAUGAUGGGUAGCUGGUCUGAGAGGAUGGCCAGCCACAUUGGGACUGAGAUACGGCCCAGACUCCUACGGGAGGCAGCAGUGGGGAAUCUUUCGCAAUGGGCGAAAGCCUGACGGAGCGACACCGCGUGGGGGAGGGAGGCUUUCGGGUUGUAAACCUCUUUUCUGGGGGAAGAAUAAGGGCGGGAGGAAAUGCCCGUCCGAUGACGGUACCCCAGGAAUAAGCAUCGGCUAACUUCGUGCCAGCAGCCGCGGUAAGACGAAGGAUGCAAGCGUUAUCCGGAAUUACUGGGCGUAAAGGGCGCCUAGGCGGCUGAGUAAGUCACCCGUGAAAGCCCUCAGCUCAACUGAGGAAUGUCGAGUGAAACUGCUCAGCUUGGGGUGCAGGAGAGGAGGGUGGAACUCACAGAGUAGCGGUGGAAUGCGUAGAUACUGUGAGGUACCCCGAUGGCGAAGCAACCCUCUGGCCUGCUACCGACGCUGAAGCGCGAAAGCGUGGGGAGCAAAGGGGAUUAGAUACCCCCGUAGUCCACGCCGUAACGAUGUUCACUGGGUGUCGGUCGCUAAUACAGAUCGGUGCCGGAGCUAACGCGUUAAGUGAACCGCCUGGGGAGUACGGCCGCAAGGCUAAAACUCAAGAGAAUUGACGGGGCCCCGCACAAGCGGUGGAGCACGUGGUUUAAUUCGAUGAUAAGCGAAGAACCUCACCUGGGUUUGACAUGCUAGUGGUAGGAACCGGAAACGGGGACGACCCUUGCCUUCGGGCAAGGGAGCUAGUACAGGUGAUGCAUGGCUGUCGUCAGUUCGUGUCGUGGGACGUUGGGUUAAGUCCCGAAACGAGCGCAACCCCUGUCGUCAGUUGCCAGCGGGUAAAGCCGGGGACUCUGACGAGACUGCCGGUGAAUAGCCGGAGGAAGGAGGGGAUGACGUCAAGUCAUCAUGUCCCUUAUGCCCAGGGCGACACACAUGCUACAAUGGGGGGUACAAAGGGCUGCAAUGCCGUAAGGCUGAGCCAAUCCCAAAAAACCUUCCUCAGUUCGGAUUGAGGUCUGUAACUCGACCUCAUGAAGCCGGAAUCGCUAGUAAUCGCAGGUCAGCCACACUGCGGUGAAUAUGUACUCGGGGCUUGUACACACCGCCCGUCACACCAACCGAGUGGGGGGUACUUAAAGUCGCU